GAAUAAACAAAGGUGCACGCUGCUAUUCUUCACAGAGAAUAAAGCAUGAGAAAGAUAUCAAGGGGGUAUUAUGGUCAACAUUUCAAUUGUGUGCUAGGCAAAGACUGGGCCUUAAAACUAUAUUUGAGUAAAGAAUGAAUAACUAGAAUAGAGAUUGGAUUCUGGAAGCCAACUUUAGAAUAAUAGGCCAAAGUUAAAACCAAGUUAAGAAACAAAUGAAAAAUAGGUCAGUGAAUUGUACAAGAAGGUAACACAGAUUCAGGAGUCAGCCCAUUACAAGGGUGAGAACAUCUUUUCAACUUGUCAUCUUUCUAGCUUUUUCUAAAUCUUACACUGAGGCACUGUAUUGUAAGGCAUUUUUUUUUUUUUUUUUUUUUUUUUUUGCCAUUGACUUAUGGCUGUAAACCUCUGGAGGGAAGUAAGAGGUGGCAAGGGAACAAAGCAGGGUAGUAUGAAAAUGUAAGCAUGAAAAAUGAAUGAAAGAUGAGAGAAGGGGUCACUUGGGCAUCAGCUGAGUAUGACAGGCUCAAGCUCAAAUGGAGCUCUGGCAGAAAGUUGACUGUAUCCCACAGGUUAUCAUUCCAGAUAGCGGCAGAGUUCUGGUGGUUUGCUAGUAGCCAGCUGAUCAAUGUAUUUAUGCCCUAAUUUAUGGCUUAUCAUUAGUCUGCCCCUCAGAGACAUUUAAUGGUUAUUUUUUGGUGCUAUUUAUUUAUCUACUUAUUUAUUUUCCUGCAGAAUCAUAACACAAAGCUUAUAUUAUCUCAAACAGCUGAAAAUGCAAUGUUUGAACCCCUAGUUUCCCUAGCCUUUCCAUCUCAUGCCAGAGUAGGGGCUGGUACACUACAAAAUCAGAACGGCCAGGGUUGAAAAAUGAAAAUUACUGUAAAAAUAUGCUACUGGUACCAAAAGAUUUGGAAUUCAGGCUUUGAUUCUGACGGAAAAAUGGUUAAUGUUUCUGAAAUGAUGUAACUUAAAAAGUCUCAACAGAUAUAGGUUAGAAAACUUGAUGUUAAAGACAGUGGAUCCUUAAGCUCUCCCAGAAUGCAGUGGGCAACCAGGGAGCCCAGGCUGUCAUGGGAUUCCUAGGGUGUCAAUUUGCCAGCCAGAAACCUCUGUGGCUGGUGGUGCCUCUGCUUAGGUUUUGCUUGUGCUCGCUGGGCUCAUUCCACCCACUCAGCCCAGCAGCCCCUGCUCGGCUUGUGCUACCAGCCGCAUCCCCUAACUGCCAUGGGCAAGCCAGGCAUGGAGCAGUGAGGGAUGUGUGAGCAAGUGAGUGCAGGGUCCAGCCACUGCACACAGCCAGCUCCAUGGAAGACUGAAGCUAGACCAGGCAUAUUAAAAGCAGCUUUGGCUGUGGGCACCAGCAUCUAGACAAGGGGAAUGCGAUGGUGCCCAAAAGCAGAGCCCCAAAGAGAGUCCCAGUUCUUUUCCUGCAUCUAGGAAGAACGAGAUACAUGGACAAUUUGAGGGUGAGGAAGGCAGAGGAGCUUCACUGAGUGACAAAACAGCUUUCAGGAGACCCAAAGUGGGUAGCUCCUUUCCAUAGGCAAGUUGUCCUGAUGGGGUUCCAGCUCACAGAGGAGAGGAGAAACAUGGCAAGUAGCUCCUUUCUGCAGGGAUGUUGUCCUGACGAGUGUGCAAGUCUGGCUGAGUCCAGGGUUUUCAUGAGCUCAGAAGAGAGGAAG
rnacentral:lncRNA from 1 species